rnacentral:tRNA from 1 species
AGCUAGUCUGGCGAAAUGAGAACUGCUAAUUGCUCACUUCCAUGGUUCAACUCCAUGGCUCGCUU